rnacentral:rRNA from 1 species
UGCCAGCCGCCGCGGUAACACCAGCGCCACAAGUGGGGAUCAGUUUUAUUGGGUCUAAAGCGUCCGUAGCCGGCUUAGUAAAUUUUCUGUGAAAUCGACCAUUUAAAAUGGUCGGCGUGCAGGGAAGACUGCUAGGCUUGGGACUGGGAGAGGUAAGAAGUAUUCCAGGGGUAGCGGUAAAAUGUUAUAAUCCCUGGAGGACUACCAAUGGCGAAGGCAUCUUACCAGAACAGAUACGACGGUGAGGGACGAAAGCCGGGUGAGCGAUCCGGAUUAGAUA